ACGAACGCUGGCGGCGUGCUUAACACAUGCAAGUCGAACGGGGCGAUUUAAGCUUGCUAGAUGAGCCUAGUGGCAAACGGGUGAGUAACGCGUAGGCAACCUGCCUCUAAGAUGGGGACAACAGUCCGAAAAGGACUGCUAAUACCGAAUGUUGUGAGUUUUCCGCAUGGAGAGCUCAUUAAAGAUGGCCUCUACUUGUAAGCUAUCACUUAGAGAUGGGCCUGCGUCUGAUUAGCUAGUUGGUGGGGUAACGGCCCACCAAGGCGACGAUCAGUAGCCGGUCUGAGAGGAUGAACGGCCACAUUGGGACUGAGACACGGCCCAGACUCCUACGGGAGGCAGCAGUGGGGAGUCUUCCGCAAUGGGCGAAAGCCUGACGGAGCAACGCCGCGUGAGUGAAGAAGGUCUUCGGAUCGUAAAGCUCUGUCGAAGGGGGCGAACGUGGGUUCUAUCAACAACGGAACCUAAUGACGGUACCUUUCAAGAAAGCCACGGCUAACUACGUGCCAGCCGCCGC
rnacentral:rRNA from 1 species